CCUACGGGAGGCAGCAGUGAGGAAUAUUGGUCAAUGGGCGCAAGCCUGAACCAGCCAAGUAGCGUGCAGGAUGACGGCCCUAUGGGUUGUAAACUGCUUUUAUGCGGGGAUAAAGUGUGCCAUGUAUGGCAUUUUGUAGGUACCGCAUGAAUAAGGACCGGCUAAUUCCGUGCCAGCAGCCGCGGUAAUACGGAAGGUCCGGGCGUUAUCCGGAUUUAUUGGGUUUAAAGGGAGCGUAGGCCGUCGUUUAAGCGUGUUGUGAAAUGCCGCGGCUCAACCGUGGCACUGCAGCGCGAACUGGAUGACUUGAGUUCGCGGGAGGUAGGCGGAAUGCGUUGUGUAGCGGUGAAAUGCAUAGAUAUGACGCAGAACUCCGAUUGCGAAGGCAGCUUUCCAGCGCGCUACUGACGCUGAGGCACGAAAGCGUGGGGAUCGAACAGGAUUAGAUACCCCAGUAGUC
rnacentral:rRNA from 1 species